UACAGAGGUGGCAAGCGUUGUUCGGAAUUACUGGGCGUAAAGGGCGCGUAGGCGGCCUUCUAAGUCGGACGUGAAAGCCCCAGGCUUAACCUGGGAACUGUGUCCGAUACUGGAAGGCUUGGAUUCGGGAGAGGGAUGUGGAAUUCCAGGUGUAGCGGUGAAAUGCGUAGAUAUCUGGAGGAACACCGGUGGCGAAGGCGGCAUCCUGGACCGAGAUCGACGCUGAGGCGCGAAAGCUAGGGGAGCAACGGG
rnacentral:rRNA from 1 species